rnacentral:lncRNA from 1 species
AAGCUUAUGUCUGAAAUAAGUUGUUUAUGUUAAUAGAUACUAGCAGGACUUGCCACCACCAACAGGAUGUUAUUGGAAAAACAAAGCAAACAGAAGUGGGUGGUGUUUAAUAACUUUCCUAGAGGUGGCAGUACUUGAACAGAAGCCAGGAAUCCAGUUCCCCAUGCUGCCUUAUCAUCACCUGAUAAUUAAAAAGGUAUCAUCUCAGUCCAGCUCUGGGGGCUAGAGUUACAGAAAGACUAGAAUAAUGACAAAGUGCUACAAAUAUCCAGAGCGCUGUUACACAGAUAUGAAGAUCCAGGAUGGCUGCUUCUUUUACCUUCACAUUUUCAGAAGCAGGAGAAGCUGCAGGGUCACAGCAGUGGGAUGAUCAGAUGGCUCUUGUAGUGGGUAGAAGGAAUCCAAGCAGCAGCGGAGGAUGUUGCAGCAGCAGGUAUGAGACAUGCUUUAUUAUAGCUGUAGUUUUGAGUCCCUUGUCUGUUUUGAAUUGAUCUGUCGGUACUUGACUGACUUGCUCUCCUUGGUCUCCUUGUACUCAUUUACAUGCUCUAUUACGAUGUUGGCAGUGCUGGAUAUCCGUGAUUACUUUUAAGUGCACUCUUUCUUUCUGGUAUAUUGAUGAUUCAUACUAUUAGGAGAGGCUUCCUGCCUUUCCAUGACUUUGUGAAAAUGAUCUAUUUCAUAAUGUCUCCUUACUCUUAGCAGGGCUUGUGCUCUGUUCCCAAAACUCCCACUGUUUUCACUGCAAGCAUGACCAGACUGUGAAAUAGCUUGGCUGGUCUGGUGAAUAAUCUGUUAGUCUCUUUUAAUAAACUGC